rnacentral:rRNA from 1 species
CCCUUAGAUGUUCUGGGCCGCACGCGUGCUACACUGAGUGGAUCAGCGGGUCAGGUUGCGCGAAAGUGUUUCCUAAUCUUUAAAUCCGCUCGUGAUGGGGAUUGACGGUUGCAAUUUUCCGUCAUGAACGAGGAAUACCUUGUAAGCGUGGGUCAUCAUCCCGCGCUGAAUACGUCCCUGCCCUUUGUACACACCGCCCGUCGCUCCUACCGAUUGAGUGGUCCGGUGAGGCUUUGGGAUCUGAGCGGAAAGAGCGUUUCGCUGUUUCUGCCCGGAAAACUCAGUCGAACCUUAUCAUUUAGAGGAAGGAGAAGUCGUAACA